AGAUGACGCGUGCGCCGGCCGGCCGCCGAGGGGCUACCGUUCUGCCUCCGACAGGUUGUGUGUGGGUUUACUUGGAGGUGCUUUGCCUGGGAGAAAGGAGGCUGGUGGACUAGGGGGCCCUUCGGGGAUUGCGCGCACGCGCAGCGGCCAGGCCCCCUGCCCAGACCGCGAAGGCUCAAGGUUGCCGCACGCAGAUUUUUCCUGGUACCGCAGGCCCCCUCCCUUCCCCAGGCGUCCCUGAGCGCCUCUGCGGGCCCGACGAGGGGCGACUGGCGUGUGGGGAGUGUGACCCACCCUCGGUGAGAAAGCCUUCUCUAGCGAUCUGAGAGGUGUGCCUUUGGGGUACCGGAUCCCCCGGCCUGCCGCCUCUCUUUGCGUUAUGGUAGCGCUGCCGUGGCGACUGGCUUGCAGAGGACCCUCCUCCACUUCCCCCUUGAUGAGGCUCUGCAAUGCCAGAGGGAGGCUUGUGCAAAUAUUCUCAUAGAUUCUGGUGCUGAUCCAAAUAUUGUAGAUGUGUAUGGCAACACAGCUGUCCAUUAUGCUGUUAACAGUGAGAAUUUGUCAGUGGUGGCAAAAUUGCUGUCCUGUGGUGCAGACAUCGAAGUGAAGAACAAGGCUGGCCACACACCACUUUUACUGGCCAUAAGGAAAAGAAGUGAGGAAAUUGUGGAAUUUUUACUGACAAAAAAUGCAAAUGCAAAUGCAGUUGAUAAGUUUAAAUGCGUUCAUCAACAACUUUUGGAAUAUAAACAAAAGAUAUCUAAAAAUUCUCAAAAUAGUAAUCCAGAAGGAACAUCUGAAGGAACACCUGAUGAGGCUGCACCCUUGGCGGAAAGAACACCUGACACGGCUGAAAGCUUGGUGGAAAGAACACCUGAUGAAUAGGAUACAGUGAAUUCCUCUUCAAAGAUUUUAGCCUGUAAACAUCCUUUAAAAUUCAAGAGGGGGAAGAUUAAGUACAAUGAGUUCUGAGUUCCUCAUCAAAGAACAAAUAUGUCAGUAUGUUCAGCUUCUCUGUUCUUUGUUCUCCGUUUUAAAGUUUAACUUCCUCGUUCGUUAUGCCUCCUUGCCCCUAGUUUCAUUAAACAGCCCCCUUCUAGCCUCUAACACCUGCUUUGUCUUUAGUCAUUCUUAGUAACCUGCUCUGUCCUUAGUCAUCCUUAGACACCUGCUCUGUAACUGUCUUUCCCGCUGAAACUACUCACCCUGCCACUCCAGCUCAUACCCCUGCCCUCUUUAAAUAGCCAAUCUGAAUUGGCUUAGAGUGUGCAGUCCAACCCUAUCCAAUAGGGAAAAGACACAACAGUAGGGACUAGCUGCGUUAGAAAUAAGAACACUUUCCCCUCCCUUGUCCGGUGUGAUCUUGCCAUUGCUCCAUCUGCAAGACCACUCUUCCAUAGAAGUAAAUUUGCCUUGCUGUAAAAA
rnacentral:lncRNA from 1 species